rnacentral:rRNA from 1 species
GUUUCCUACGGGGGGCAGCAGUGAGGAAUAUUGGUCAAUGGGCGGAAGCCUGAACCAGCCAAGUCGCGUGAGGGAAGAAGGCCCUGCGGGUCGCAGACCUCUUUGGACGGGGAGCAAGGCCGCCGACGUGUCGGCGGAAGGAGAGUACCCGUAGAACAAGCAUCGGCUAACUCCGUGCUAGCAGCCGCGGUAAUACGUAGGGGGCAAGCGUUAUCCGGAUUUACUGGGUGUAAAGGGAGCGUAGACGGCAGCGCAAGUCUGGAGUGAAAUCCCAUGGCUUAACCAUGGAACUGCUUUGGAAACUG